UAAAAAAAAUAAAGUGUGUCUAAUAUUAUAUUUGUGAACUGCGAAGAAAAAGCAAAAAAAAUUUGUUAAGUCCAAUUUUCUUUAACAGUCGUGCUAAAUUAAGCAAUGUUAACCAUUGUGUACAUUAUUAACGGAAAGUACCGUAGCUUCCUUUUAUACUCCUGCAUUGAAAAGGAUAGCAAUCACAACUGCGCCGCAGAAGAAAGGAUCUCCCUGAAACGAAUUUAUGCAGAAGUUCUGCGUUUUCAAAGUGGCGUUUCAUUACAUCCUCAGAAAAACUGGUGAGAGUGUUGGUAUGAGAAGUACAUGCAUACCGCCGGUGUAGCGCUUACCUAUAAUUUUGGAAGUGUUGGCUUCAGGAGGCUACCAAUGUCUUGCAGCGACCAGCCCGUAAGUGUUGCAGAAAGCACGUUAUCAACCAGUGUAUCAGAGGUGUUACAAGAGUUGAAAACAAAACUUAAACGCGGAGACGAAGAAGCGGUUUUACCAGACAUUUGGUAUUUCAGUAAUUGGAUGUGUUGACGGAACGUAUAUACGCAUUUUAUUCUAGAUUUGCUGUCAGUCAAUUUGAAAUCCCCCGGAUCUUGCCAUGAUUCGCAUAAGUGCACUUCGAUGAAAGACCUUCCCUAGAAAACCAUUGGACCGGGCAUGAGACCAAUACUUGGCUGCUUGUGGAUACCUCCUAGACCUUUGCCUGAUAAAACCUUACCGAAGUUCGGCGGAUCCUCUAAAGAAAAAUACAACGCAAUUCGUUGCAAGGCGAGGAACAUUGCGGAAAUAUGCAUUGGCAUGUAUAGAAGUUAAGAUUACAGUAUUUAGUAUUGCGAAAAUCUGACUACAGUGUUUGAAUGUUUCUCUAGGGCGCUGGAGUAUUCUACAGAAAGAGAGAAAGAGCUGCCGCAGCCCAAAGAUGUUGGGAAAAAUUAUAAACGUUUGGGUAGCGCUGCACAACAUUUGCAUCUACUAAAAGGUGGGAGAAGAUCAUUUGAAUUCUCCAGGCGACCUAUAAAGACGAUGGUGUUGAUGUUUGAAAACACCAGAAUGGAGAUUUGAGGGACGAUAGUACCAGGCGAUAAUCACGGCGAUGAUCGCCUGCUUACAUAAUUUCAUCGAGAAAGCAUUUUUCUCAGCGGCCGCGCAUAAGUGAAGCAAACACCUCAAGACUCGAGAAUGAAAUGACAAAUGAAUGGUUAAUGCUAUACGUAAUCACAUGUUUGAAAGUUAAUUUUCAUUUGCGAUGAAGUCAAUAGUUGAUACACGCUUAUGUUGCAAUCGCGUAAAACUUUAGUGUUGUUUUCGUUGCUGCCAUACAUUUGCAAAUGAAAAACUUGUGUUUGCAUUUAUUUGUGGGCGUCAAAACCACAAAAUAACAGCUGAUAUUAUCUUUGAUAAAUUUACAAACAAACCAAUCAUUGAUGAAGUAGCCAAUAAAAAGAUACGCAAAUUUCCUGAGGAGGAAAUGGGCACUUUUUGAUGUAACGAUCGACACCCACUU